UACAGAGGGUGCGAGCGUUGUCCGGAAUCACUGGGCGUAAAGGGCGCGUAGGUGGCGCCGCAAGUCCAUGGUGAAAGCUCGAUGCUCAACAUCGAGUCGGCCACGGAGACUGCGGGGCUCGAGCACUGUAGGGGCAGAUGGAAUUCCGGGUGUAGCGGUGGAAUGCGUAGAGAUCCGGAAGAACACCGGUGGCGAAGGCGGUCUGCUGGGCAGUUUAGCUGACACUGAGGCGCGACAGCGUGGGGAGCAAACAGG
rnacentral:rRNA from 1 species